rnacentral:rRNA from 1 species
GUGGGGAAUAUUGCACAAUGGGCGCAAGCCUGAUGCAGCAACGCCGCGUGAGGGAUGACGGCCUUCGGGUUGUAAACCUCUUUUAGUAGGGAAGAAGCGUAAGUGACGGUACCUGCAGAAAAAGCACCGGCUAACUACGUGCCAGCAGCCGCGGUAAUACGUAGGGUGCAAGCGUUGUCCGGAAUUAUUGGGCGUAAAGAGCUCGUAGGCGGCUUGUCGCGUCUGCUGUGAAAUCCCGGAGCUCAACUCCGGGCGUGCAGUGGGUACGGGCAGGCUAGAGUGCGGUAGGGGAGAUUGGAAUUCCUGGUGUAGCGGUGGAAUGCGCAGAUAUCAGGAGGAACACCGAUGGCGAAGGCAGAUCUCUGGGCCGUAACUGACGCUGAGGAGCGAAAGCAUGGGGAGCGAACAGGAUUAGAUACCCGGGUAGUCC